rnacentral:rRNA from 1 species
GACGAACGCUGGCGGCGUGCCUAAUACAUGCAAGUAGAACGCAGUUGCGAACGGGUGAGUAACGCGUAUGUAACUGCCUCAUAGCGGGGGAUAACUAUUUGAAACGGUAGCUAAUACCGCAUACUGUGAGAUGGACGUGCUGUGUAUUAGCUAGUUGGUGAGGUAAAGGGUCACCAAGGCGACGAUCCAUAGCCGACCUGAGAGGGUGAACGGGCACCACGGGACUGAGAAAAGGGCCAGACGCCCACCGGAGGCAGCAGGAGGGAAUCUUUGGCCAUGGGCGGAAGGCUUGACGAGGAAAUCCGCGUGAGUGAAGAAGGGUUUCGGAUCGGAAAGGUAUGUUGUGAGAGAAGCGGUAACUACACAGAAAGGGACGGCUAACUACGUGCCAGCAGCCGCGGUAAUAC